CCUACGGGAGGCAGCAGUGGGGGAUAUUGCACAAUGGGGGCAACUCUGAUGCAGCGAUGCCGCGUGGGUGAAGAAGCCCCUCUGCGCGGAAAGCCCUUUCAGCAGGGAGGAAAAUCACGGUACGUGAAGAAGGAUCCCCGGCUAACUCCGUUCCAGCAGCCGCGGUAAUACGGAGGGGGCAAGCGUUAUCCGGAUUUACCGGGUGUAAUGGGGGCGCAGACGGCGAGGCAAGCCAGGAGUGAAAGCCCGGGGCUCAACCCCGGGACUGCUCGUGAAACUGCGGGGCUGGAGUGUAGGCGGGGUAGGCGGAAUGCCUGGUGUAGCGGUGAAAUGCAUAGAGAUCA
rnacentral:rRNA from 1 species